AUUGAACGCUGGCGGCAGGCCUAACACAUGCAAGUCGAGCGGAGCGGCGGACGGGGGAGUAAUGCCUAGGAAUCUGCCUGGUAGUGGGGGAUAACGUCCGGAAACGGGCGCUAAUACCGCAUACUAUCAGAAGAGCCUAGGUCGGAUUAGCUGGUUGGUGGGGUAAAGGCCUACCAAGGCGACGAUCCGUAACUGGUCUGAGAUGAUGAUCAGUCACACUGGAUCGAGGACACGGUCCAGCCUCCUACGGGAGGCAGCAGUGGAGAAUAUUGGGCAAUGGGCGAAAGCCUGAUCCAGCCAUGCCGCGUGUGUGAAGAAGGUCUUCGGAUUGUAAAGCACUUUAAGGUGGGGGGCGUUACCAACAGAAUAAGCACCGGCUAACUUCGUGCCAGCAGCCGCGGUAAUUC
rnacentral:rRNA from 1 species